rnacentral:lncRNA from 1 species
UAUCUAUACCCUAGGCAUGGAAGGCUUCAGGAAUAUUAGAUGCCCAAUAUUUGUAUUGUUGAUUAUUUUGUGAAUCGUGGACAUAUCAUGAUAGUAUGAUACUGCAUUGGGUUUUUUAAGAUUUGCAUGGAAAAGAAAUAUACAGAAUCGCUCUCUAUCUCCGUGAUUUCACGUGAACUGCUAGAGCAUGCCCUGAAAUCAACCACGACACUACCAGAAAGCCAGUGUCUAAGAAGCCGACGAUGGAAACAGUACAGAGCAAGCAAGAAAGAGCCAGGUAGUGUUUUAAUAAGUUAUUAAAUUGAAUACU